AGAUUGAACGCUGGCGGCAUGCCUUACACAUGCAAGUCGAACGGCAGCACGGGGGCAACCCUGGUGGCGAGUGGCGAACGGGUGAGUAAUAUAUCGGAACGUGCCCUGGAGUGGGGGAUAGCUCGGCGAAAGCCGGAUUAAUACCGCAUACGAUCUACGGAUGAAAGUGGGGGAUCGCAAGACCUCAUGCUCCUGGAGCGGCCGAUAUCUGAUUAGCUAGUUGGUAGGUAAAGCCUACCAAGGCAUCGAUCAGUAGCUGGUCUGAGAGGACGACCAGCCACACUGGAACUGAGACACGGUCCAGACUCCUACGGGAGCAGCAGUGGGAAUUUUUGGACAAUGGGGGCAACCCGUGAUCCAGCAAUCGCCGCGUGUGUGAAGAAGGCCUUGGUGUAAAGCUAGUUUGGCGGAACGAACGGUUUGGCUAAGUACCCGU
rnacentral:rRNA from 1 species